rnacentral:ncRNA from 1 species
GGGGCGCAUUUAUUAGAUAAAAGGCUGACGUGGGCUCUGCUCGCUGAUCCGAUGAUUCAUGAUAACUCGACGGAUCGCAUGGCCUUUGUGCCGGCGACGCAUUGUUCAAAUUUCUGCCCUAUCAACUUUCGAUGGUAGGAUAGGGGCCUACCAUGGUGGUGACGGGUGACGGAGAAUUAGGGUUCGAUUCCGGAGAGGGAGCCUGAGAAACG